UACAGAGGAGCCAAGCGUUGUCCGGAUUGACUGGGCGUAAAGCGCACGCAGGCGGUUGCGCGCGUGGGGUGUGAAAUCUGGCCGCUUAACGGCCAGGCGCCAUCCCAUACGGCGCGACUGGAGUGAUGCAGAGGUCGAUGGAAUUGCCGGUGUAGUGGUGAAAUGCGUAGAGAUCGGCAGGAACACCCAGGGGGGAAACCAGUCGACUGGGCAUCUACUGACGCUGAGGUGCGAGAGCGUGGGGAGCGAACCGGAUUGAGAAACCC
rnacentral:rRNA from 1 species